rnacentral:lncRNA from 1 species
UGAUGUCUGUCUACUCACUGGGAUUUUAUAAUCUCACCCCUUCUUCCUAUACAUUUUUCAGGCUCAGGACAAUUUGUUGAUAGUUGAUUAAGACGAGAAUUAUUCUCGGAGUUGCAUCUUAAAAAGUAAGGGUUCGUAGCCCUACAUCUUCUUAGUCAGUUGGGGGCCUACGUGUCACUGUAAAAGUAAUUUUAUUCUUCAAUUAUUUAAUUUAAAAUAUGUAUGAAUAUAUUUAGCUUUUACACCAUGUUUUUGGCGAGUUUUGGUAUUUUCAAAAAAAAUGAUGAAAAUACCCCUGUGAGCCAGAAAGUAAUAUUUUAUUGUUUUGAUUUGGAAAUGACUUAUGAUUUUUUUUUAAAUAUGAGAUUUAAUAACUGUCGCUCACUAGGGAGAUGCAGAAGCUGAUGCUAAGCCUUGCGGGGUUUCGAUCGGCAUUCGGGGUAAUGAGUGCCUAUCGGGACGUCGCGACGGUUGUCACGGGCUCGAUGGGAGAUCCGGGUCGUGACAGAUAGUGCCUUUUUGCCAGCCUUCAAGUGUCAAUACACUCCACAUUGUGUCGAGUUAAGUCUUAUACUAUAGAUACAUGAAUGAUACUUGGUUAUGUAAAUAAAUGUUGAUAUGAUCAUAUUUAUUUAUUAUUAUGAAUAUUAUGUUUAGUGUUGGAAAUGGGUGCAUAUGAAUGUUGAAACUAUGGUGAAAGGACCAUUGGUGAUAAAGGCACAAGAUGUGUGCCGAACCACAGUUCAUAUAUAUACAUUGUGAAUAUUGAUAUGAAAUGAGAUAGAAACCACAUGCUAUGUUGAAAACUUUCGUAAUGAUGUGAUCUUGAUGAUUUACUUGUGAUUCU